rnacentral:rRNA from 1 species
GAACGCUGGCGGCGUGCCUAAUACAUGCAAGUCGAGCGAACAGACGAGGAGCUUGCUCCUCUGACGUUAGCGGCGGACGGGUGAGUAGCACGUGGAUAACCUACCUAUAAGACUGGGAUAACUUCGGGAAACCGGAGCUAAUACCGGAUAAUAUAUUGAACCGCAUGGUUCAAUAGUGAAAGACGGUUUUGCUGUCACUUAUAGAUGGAUCCGCGCCGCAUUAGCUAGUUGGUAAGGUAACGGCUUACCAAGGCGACGAUGCGUAGCCGACCUGAGAGGGUGAUCGGCCACACUGGAACUGAGACACGGUCCAGACUCCUACGGGAGGCAGCAGUAGGGAAUCUUCCGCAAUGGGCGAAAGCCUGACGGAGCAACGCCGCGUGAGUGAUGAAGGUCUUCGGAUCGUAAAACUCUGUUAUUAGGGAAGAACAAAUGUGUAAGUAACUAUGCACGUCUUGACGGUACCUAAUCAGAAAGCCACGGCUAACUACGUG